CAGGACGAACGCUGGCGGCGUGCCUAACACAUGCAAGUCGAGCGAGGAGAUUCCUUCGGGAUGAUCCUAGCGGCGGACGGGUGAGUAACACGUGGGCAACCUGCCUCAUAGAGAGGAAUAGCCUUCCGAAAGGGAGAUUAAUACCUCAUAACAUUGCAGUUUCGCAUGGAACAGCAAUUAAAGGAGCAAUCCGCUAUGAGAUGGGCCCGCGGCGCAUUAGCUAGUUGGUGAGGUAACGGCUCACCAAGGCGACGAUGCGUAGCCGACCUGAGAGGGUGAUCGGCCACAUUGGGACUGAGACACGGCCCAGACUCCUACGGGAGGCAGCAGUGGGGAAUAUUGCACAAUGGGGGAAACCCUGAUGCCAGCAACGCCGCGUGAGUGAUGACGGCCUUCGGGUUGUAAAGCUCUGUCUUCAGGGACGAUAAUGACGGUACCUGAGGAGGAAGCCACGGCUAACUACGUGCCAGCCGCCGC
rnacentral:rRNA from 1 species